AUACGGAGGAUCCGAGCGUUAUCCGGAUUUAUUGGGUUUAAAGGGUGCGCAGGCGGCCAUUUAAGUCAGUGGUUAAAUCGUGGGGCUCAACCCCAUUCUGCCGUUGAUACUGGGUGGCUUGAUUGCGGUCGAGGUUGGCGGAAUUCGUUGUGUAGCGGUGAAAUGCAUAGAUAUGACGAAGAACACCGAUUGCGUAGGCAGCUGACCAGACCGCAAAUGACGCUCAUGCACGAAAGGGCGGGGAUCGAACAGGAUUAGAUACCCUGGUAGUCCGCACAGUAAACGAUGAAUACUUGUUUUCGGCGAUAUAAUGUCGGAGGCAAAGCGAAAGCGAUAAGUAUUCCACCUGGGGAGUACGCCGGCAACGGUGAAACUCAAAUGAAUUGGCGGGG
rnacentral:rRNA from 1 species